UUGAGGGGAAAAGUAAUUGGCCGGACUUCUCAAGGAAAAACCAUCAUCAAAGUUCAAUCUCGACCAAGACUUAGACGCAGGAACUUCUUCUUAAAGAGGACUCGUGUAGUCGAAGUUCCAUCUUCCGUCAACAUCCGAGAGGAAUCUGCAAGGAAAGAUCCGCCGCUAAUUUCAUGAAGAAAAUCAACUGGAAACAUUGAGAUUUGAGAAUUCUUCCAAGAAUGGAGGAGAGAGAAGGCGACGACGUGCCACGUGUCAACCGACGAGAGGUUUUUCGUGCGUCGAUAGCCACCAGAUACGCAUCGAAUGCCGCCUGGAGGGACGUAGUUCCAUUCUUCUAGCAACACGCUUCCACUGCAGCUCCAACCCGAUCCGCGUUCCUUAGCCGAAUCAAUAACCGCGUGACAAAUCAAACCAUAACGACCCACGGUCUAGCCAAACCACCUUGCCCGAACCAAACCAAUGAUCCGCAACUAUAGAAAAGCGUGCGCGUGCGUGGAACCUACGAGUGAGCUCAUCUUGGCGCGUGGCUAUGACAAUUUUCAACCCGAUCGACUUCAUUUUGCCUAAUUUUCAACCCGAUUCCUAUUCUAACCAAAUUUUUAUGUGAUUUAGGACCUAGUUGGAAAAAAUCAAUAUUUUUGGACACUUUACAUGCUUAGGAACGCUAACGUAAGGGCACGCGUUAACCAGGUAAGUCGCCACACGAUAUUUAGGAAGUGAUACUUGUAGGAAUCGCUUGGUUUGCAUGCAUGCUAGUCUAUUUUCCUUAGAUGUAGCUCUCCAUGGAUCGAAU